rnacentral:rRNA from 1 species
CCUACGGGGGGCUGCAGUGGGGAAUAUUGGACAAUGGGGGGAACCCUGAUCCAGCCAUGCCGCGUGUGUGAAGAAGGCCCUCGGGUUGUAAAGCACUUUCAGUGAGGAAGAACGCCUGGUGGUUAAUACCCAUCAGGAAAGACAUCACUCACAGAAGAAGCACCGGCUAACUCCGUGCCAGCAGCCGCGGUAAUACGGAGGGUGCGAGCGUUAAUCGGAAUUACUGGGCGUAAAGCGCGCGUAGGUGGCUUGAUAAGCCGGUUGUGAAAGCCCCGGGCUCAACCUGGGAACGGCAUCCGGAACUGUCAAGCUAGAGUGCAGGAGAGGAAGGUAGAAUUCCCGGUGUAGCGGUGAAAUGCGUAGAGAUCGGGAGGAAUACCAGUGGCGAAGGCGGCCUUCUGGACUGACACUGACACUGAGGUGCGAAAGCGUGGGUAGCAAACAGGAUUAGAUACCCUUGUAGCC